AGUGAACGCUGGCGGUAGGCCUAACACAUGCCAGUCGAACGGCAGCACAGUAAGAGCUUGCUCUUACGGGUGGCGAGUGGCGGACGGGUGAGGAAUACAUCGGAAUCUACUUUUUCGUGGGGAAUAACGUAGGGAAACUUACGCUAAUACCGCAUACGACCUACGGGUGAAAGCAGGGGAUCUUCGGACCUUGCGCGAUUGAAUGAGCCGAUGUCGGAUUAGCUAGUUGGCGGGGUAAAGGCCCACCAAGGCGACGAUCCGUAGCUGGUCUGAGAGGAUGAUCAGCCACACUGGAACUGAGACACGGUCCAGACUCCUACGGGAGGCAGCAGUGGGGAAUAUUGGGCAAUGGGCGCAAGCCUGAUCCAGCCAUACCGCGUGGGUGAAGAAGGCCUUCGGGUUGUAAAGCCCUUUUGUUGGGAAAGAAAAGCAGCAGGUUAAUACCCCGCUGUUCUGACGGUACCCAAAGAAUAAGCACCGGCUAACUUCGUG
rnacentral:rRNA from 1 species